rnacentral:lncRNA from 1 species
GCCCGGGGGAUAAUGUUACAAAUAUGGAUGAGAUGGUUAUAAAGUAAUUGUAUACCACCGUGGAGGAGAAUUACAGAGCCAGUAGAUGCCUCAAAAUUAUCAGAAUACCCCUGCAAAUCGGACACCCCAAGAUGUACAAAGACAAGAUGGGGGACAAUAAAAGAUAAGAACCCAAGGAUGAGUCUAUGCACUUACACAACAGGAUGCUAAUGCUUCUAAUUCAGUGGUGACAGGU